rnacentral:rRNA from 1 species
UACGUAGGGACCAAGCGUUGUUCGGAUUUACUGGGCGUAAAGGGCGCGUAGGCGGCGCGGUAAGUCACUUGUGAAAUCUCUGAGCUUAACUCAGAACGGCCAAGUGAUACUGCAGUGCUAGAGUGUGGAAGGGGCAAUCGGAAUUCUUGGUGUAGCGGUGAAAUGCGUAGAUAUCAAGAGGAACACCUGAGGUGAAGACGGGUUGCUGGGCCAACACUGACGCUGAGGCGCGAAAGCCAGGGGAGCAAACGGGAUUAGAAACCCCCGUAGUCC